UAAGUACUCCCUCCGUCUCAUAUUAAGUGACUUUUUAUUACAUGUAUCUAGACGUUUUUUAGCCGUAGAUACAUCCAUAUUUAGACAAAUUUGAGUCACUUAAUAUGGGACGGAGGGAGUACAAC
rfam:Brachypodium distachyon strain Bd21 chromosome 3, whole genome shotgun sequence.